GGGCGAGUAUUCGCGCAAGCGAGAAAGUUAAAAGAAUUGACGGAAGGGCACCACCAGGCGUGGAGCUUGCGGCUUAAUUUGACUCAACACGGGAAAACUCACUAGUUUAAGACAAGAGUAGGAUUGACAGAUUAAUAGCUCUUUCUUGAUUUCUUGGAUGGUGAUGCAUGGCCGUUUUUAGUUCGUGAAUAUGAUUUGUCUGGUUAAUUCCGAUAACGAACGAGAUCUUAACCUGCUAAUUAGCGGUAAGUACACUAUAUUUUUAUUUGAAAUUGAAUAUAGGUAAUUAUACAUGUUUAUUCAGUGUUCAAAUUAGGAUAUUUUUUUAUUAAAAUAUUCUUUUCCCUGUUUUACUAAUAAUUUGUUUUUUUUUACUCUAUUUCUCUCUUCUUUUAAGAAUGUACUUGCUUGAUUAAAUAAAGCUUCUUAGAGGAACAGUGUGUAUCUAACACAAGGAAGUUUAAGGCAACAACAGGUCUGUGAUGUCCUUAGAUAAACUAGGCUGCACGCGUGCUACAAUGAUAUAUAUAACAAGUUGUUAAAAAUGUACUUAUAAAUAAGUGUGUACAAUUUUUCCUGUACUGAAAAGUAUAGGUAAUCUUUAUCAGUAUAUAUCGUAAUUGGGAUAGAUUAUUGCAAUUAUUAAUCUUGAACGAGGAAUGCCUAGUAAGCAUGAUUCAUUAGAUUGUGCUGACUACGUCCCUGCCCUUUGUACACACCGCCCGUCGCUCCUACCGAUUGAAAGAUAUGAUGAAUUGUUUGGAUAUGAAUUAAAAUAAUGAAAUUUUAUAUUUCUGAUUUUUUCUAGAAGAACUGUAAAUCCUAUCUUUUAAAGGAAGGAGAAGUCGUAACAAGGUUUCCGUAGGUGAACCUGCGGAAG
rnacentral:ncRNA from 1 species